AGAGAUAAGUGUUGCCCAAUCACUUAAACCAACUUUAACAAUUUACCAGGAUGGGGAAUCUAUAGUUAUUAAAUCAGUAAACAUCCUUUUUACUAAAGAGAUCUGUUUCAAGUUGGGCGAAGAGUUCAGUGAGGAAACCAUGGAUCACCGUAAAUGCAAGAAUGUUAUAACGUUGGAUGAAGGCAAACUUGUACAGGUGCAGACGUGGGAUGGGAAACAAACCACAAUUGUUCGUGAGAUCAUGGAUGACAACAUGUUCAUGACACUGACCUUUGGGGACGUUGCAUCCACCCUCACCUAUAAGAAGAUAUAAAUGAUGGACCACUUACCAGUCUCGUGAAUUUCCAAAGACAGAAAUGGUGUUCAAAUAUAAAAAUA